rfam:Picea glauca, whole genome shotgun sequence.
AGGUGUGAUCAUAUCAGUGUUAAUGCAUGAGAUCCCAUCAGAACUAUGCAGUUAAGCAUGCUUGGGAUAGAGUAGUAUUGGUAUGGGUGACCUCUCAGAAAUUCCUAGUGUUGCACCCU